rnacentral:tRNA from 1 species
UCCAGAGUGGUGUAGUGGUAGCAUACCAAGCUGACAGUUAAGCUUCUCUUCAUAGAGGGGCUUAAUCCUUACGGGGAUGGAGGAGACCCAGGUUCGAUUCCUGGCUCUGGGA